CCGGAGCCAGCAGUGGCAACCCGCUCGGGUCCCCUUCCACGUUGUGGAAGUUUUGUUCUUUUGCUCUUUGCAAUAAAUCUUGUUACUGCUCACUCUUUGGGUCCACACUGCUUUUAUGAGCUGUAACACUCACCGAAAAGGUCUGCAGCUUCACUCCUGAAGCCAGGGAGACCACGAGCCCACCGGGAGGAACGAACAAGUCCAGACGCGUUGCCUUAAGAGCUGUAACACUCACCGCGAAGGUCUGCAGCUUCAUUCCUGAGCCAGCGAGACCACGAACCCACCAGAAGGGAGAAACUCCGAACACAUCUGAACAUCAGAAGGAACAGAGACUCCGGACACGCCGCCUUGAACUGUAACACUCACCACGAGGGGCCGUGGCUUCAUUCUUGAAGUCAGUGAGACCAAGAACCCACAAAUUCCAGACACAAUGCCACAGGGAGGCAGCACAGUAGGUAAAGGCUUGGAUUCCCAAGUCAGCCUGAUCAAAGAGUUGUUGAACCUUGGUUACACUGCGUAACUUCUCUAAACUUCUCAUCUGUGAUUGCGGAGUAUAAUAAUCCCUCCUCACAGGAUUGUCAAUGUGAGAAUGAAGUGACAAGGCUUCCACAGCAUUUUACACAGUGCCUGGCAUCAGGUGCUCAGCAAUGUGAGGUUCUGGGUGGCAGGGACCCACCACGGCCUCUCCAUCUCACGCUCUGCUCAAGAAAGACUCACUGCACAGCAGCAAUGUGUUAAGCACUGUGAGUGAAGAUGAAGAUAUACUUCCUGCCAUAUUCAUUGAGCAAGGUAAAUUCUUAGGGUUUGUGUACUAUGGACUCCUUUGGCUGCCUGCUGAAUCUUGCAGACCACUUAUCAGAAUCAUGUAUUAAAAGCAUAAAGUAAAAUGCAUAAAAGCUUCUUAUUGAUUCUCAAGUGUAACCAAAGUAGAAAACCCCUACUCCAGGUGUCUAGCGUUGUAAGAGAAAGCCUUUUAAGUAUUCUUAAGUGGCAUUUCAAGUGGGGUAAGCUUUUCAAGUAGAAUUCAUUCAACAUUUCCCAAGCAGCUACCACGUGCUAGGUGCUUACCUAGAGCAGAAAAUAAGACAAAGUUCCUGCCUUCAUGAACUUACAUGAGGGGUCAGGCAAUAAACAAAUAAAUGAGAAAAUAUAUUGUGUGCCAGAUGAGGGUAAGCACUGUGGGAAAAAUAAAGCAUGUUGUAUUAGGGUUCUCUAGAGAAACAGAAUCAAUAGGAUCUAUUUAUUCAUUAAGGGGCUUUGUCUCAUAUGAUUAUGGAGGGGGAGCAAGUCCAAGGCCCGCAAAGCUGAUGUCCCAGUUUGAGCCUGUAGGCUGGCAGACUGCUGCAAAAUCAGGAAGGGCCAAUGUUCCAGUUGGAAGGCCAUUAGGCAGAAGAAGACUCUCUUAUUCUGGGGAGGGUCAGCCUUUUGUUCUAUUCAGACCUUCAGCUGAUUGUCCACCCAUGUUAGGGAGGACAGUCUGCUUUACUCAGUCUACAUAUUUAAAUGUUCAUCUCAUCCCAAAACACCUGCACAGAAACACCCAGAAUAAUGUUUGACUAAAUAUCUGGGCACAUCUAUGGCUCAGUCAAGUUGACACAUAAAAUUAACAAUCAUAUGGGUUAAUGGGAAAGGUGGUAACUGGGGGUGCUAUUUUAAAAGGGUUUUCAGAGGAGGCAUCUUUAGGGAGAGGCCAUAAGAACAGUAAUCUAAACGAAGUAAAAGCCAGAAGCUGUGAAAGAGGAUCUUUCCCGGGGAAGGGCAUAGCAGGUAUGAAACCCUAUAUCUGACACGAGUUUAGGAUAUCCAAACUACUGUAAGAAACUGCUAAGGGUGGAUCACAAAGGGCUGGAGAGUGCCUCAGGGAAUGAGAUAAAGUUGGAGAGAUGGACUGCAGCAGCAGGUUUAUGCAGACCUUGUAGGCCAAGGCAAUAAAUAAUUAGGCAUUUUGUAUUAAGGGUCAUGGAAAACUACUGGAGAGUCUUAACCAGCUCUCUCUGGCUACUGUGCUGAGAGUAGGCUAUGCUGAAAAUAGGCCAGGGUGGAAGCAGGGAGACCGAAAACCGAAGCUAUUGCCAUUAUCAGGCUAGAGGGGAUGGUGGCUUGAGCUGCAACGAAGUUGGUGAGAAGUGCCCAGAUUAUGAACAUACUGUGAAGGCCUGGUAGAUGACUCAAUUACGGGGUGAGUAGGAUAUGCAGUAAAUGUGCAGAAUGUGCCCCCAUCAACCCGUUUCACAGACACUGAUCAUGCUUGAUGACAAUUCAACAUCCGCACAGGGAAAAUUUGCUGGGGGCGGCCCCUGACAACUGACUACUUUUCUCAUGAGCUAUGGAUUCAGCAACUUCUGGAAAUCUGCUCUUACUUUAUUCAUCACUGUAGGUUUCUGUCUUUUUGCCACGGAAGCUAUCUCUGUAGGUGUUGCCUUUCACUGUAUCUUGGUAGAUCAGUUUCACUUUGUGAGCUCUUUUUGACUACUUAAAUCUCACAGACUUGUUGAUUUUCUCUUACAUUUCCAAAGAACUGACAUAUUAUCGGGAUAUGACUGGCAUAUGUCAAAUGCACAGAGCAUAAGUGAACUGUUUAACGUGUACACUCAUAAAAUCCACACCCUACACAGGAUGAGAACAUUCUACAUUCCACAAUACCCCUGUCUAGUCAAUCCUUACCAGUCCUAUCCCACUCCCUCCUCUGCUCCCUCUUCCUCUGGCCGGAACUUCUGUUCUGAUUUCCGUCAACAUAGAUUAGUUUAGUGUAUUCUUCAAUUUUGUAUAAAGAAAUCAUUAGUAUGCAUUACCUGUGUCUUGCUUCUUUCACUCAACAUAAUGUUUUUGAGAUUUGUGUGUUAUUGAUUGUGUCAAUAGCUUAUUCUCUGGAUGAAUAUACCAUAAUUUGUUUAUUAAUUCACCACUUGAUGGACAUUUGGGUUGCUUCCAGUUUGAGGUAGUUACAAUUAAAACUACAAUGAACUUUCAGUGUAUCUUUUUAUUUACAAAUACUUUCAUUUAUCUCUGGUAACACCUAGGAAUGGAAUUGCUUGGUUGUCAGGUAGACAUAUGUUAAACUUUGUAAGUUUUUUUUUAUUUAAUUGCCAUGUAUGGAAAGCCACAGAAGCAUUUUAGCCAGGUACAUUCACUGAAGGACUUACCACAUCAUCAAGUCUUAAACAGAAAUAAUGUGUGACAACACAGAUAAAAAUAAUGAUGUUGAGGAGGAGAGGAGGAUAAUGAUGAUGGUGAUGGUAGAGGUACUGUUUUUGUGUAAUAGUAUUUACCAUGUACAGC
rnacentral:lncRNA from 10 species